CGCGAAUGGCUCAUUACAACAGCCUUAGUUUAUUGGAUCUUAGAGUCCUACUUGGAUAACUGUGGUAAUUCUAGAGCUAAUACACGCAAUUAAUCCUCAACCUUACGGGCGAGGAGCAUUUAUUAGAACAGAACCAAUCGGCUUCGGCCGUAUCUGGUGAAUCUGAAUAACUACGCUGAUCGCAUGGUCUCGUACCGGCGACAUAUCCUUCAAGUGUCUGCCUUAUCAACUGUCGAUGGUAGUUUACACGCCUACCAUGGUUGUAACGGGUAACGGAGAAUAAGGGUUCGACUCCGGAGAGGGAGCCUGAGAAACGGCUACCACAUCCAAGGAAGGCAGCAGGCGCGCAAAUUACCCACUCUCAGAACGAGGAGGUAGUGACGAAAAAUAACGAGACAGUUCUCUAUGAGGUCUGUCAUCGGAAUGGGUACAAUUUAAACCCUUUAACGAGGAUCUAUUGGAGGGCAAGUCUGGUGCCAGCAGCCGCGGUAAUUCCAGCUCCAAUAGCGUAUAUUAAAGUUGUUGCGGUUAAAAAGCUCGUAGUUGGAUCUGCGGUCGUAGACUCUGGUUCCCUCCUAGGGAUACUAGCUGUCUCGACCUACCUUGUUAGAUUUCCCUUGGUGCUCUUUACUGAGUUUCUGGGUGUCUAGCUCGUUUACUUUGAAAAAAUUAGAGUGCUUAAAGCAGGCAUUUGCCUGAAUAGUGGUGCAUGGAAUAAUGGAAUAGGACCUCGGUUCUAUUUUGUUGGUUUUCGGAGCAUGAGGUAAUGAUUAAGAGGGACAGACGGGGGCAUUCGUACCGCUACGUUAGAGGUGAAAUUCUUGGAUCGUAGCAUGACGAACAACUGCGAAAGCAUUUGCCAAGAAUGUUUUCAUUAAUCAAGAACGAUAGUUAGAGGUUCGAAGGCGAUCAGAUACGCCC
rnacentral:rRNA from 1 species